UCUUUUAAGUUUCAACGGCCAUUUUGCCACAAGUUUUCUCAGCAGCAGCAUCGUGAUGGAGGUGACGGAAAAACCAAUUAAGUCUCUAGAGCAGCUGAAAGAUUCCUGCCUAUUUGCGUCCAUCAGGUGUGGACGAGUACGAGCCGUUAGGAUCUGUUCCGCUGAGUACCUGAAGCGCCAUGAAAAAAGCCAACAGCUUCCGGACGGGUGCGCCCUGCAGUUCGGAUAUCAGCAAUUACUCGCUAGCGGUGAUAAAAAUGUGCGGGUUAAAUGCAAAUGUGAUUUUUUUUAUUAAUUAACUCUAAAUUAUGAAAAAGUGUGAAAGAAAAUUAGGAUUGUUAAAAAAUAUUAAAUGAAAAUAAUAAAAAUUAGAGGCAAUAAAAUUCA